CCUACGGGAGGCUGCAGUAGGGAAUAUUGCUCAAUGGGGGAAACCCUGAAGCAGCCACGCCGCGUGGAGGAUGAAGGUUUUCGGGUUGUAAACUCCUUUUGUUAGGGAAGAUAAUGACGGUAUCUGACGAAUAAGCACCGGCUAACUCCGUGCCAGCAGCCGCGGUAAUACGGAGGGUGCAAGCGUUACACGGAAUCACUGGGCGUAAAGAGCGCGUAGGCGGGAUAGCAAGUCAGAUGUGAAAUCCUAUGGCUUAACCAUAGAACUGCAUUUGAAACUGUUAGUCUAGAGUAGGGGAGAGGUAGGUGGAAUUCUUGGUGUAGCGGUAAAAUCCGUAGAGAUCAAGAGGAAUACUCAUUGCGAAGGCGACCUGCUAGAACAUAACUGACGCUGAUGCGCGAAAGCGUGGGGAGCAAACAGGAUUAGAUACCCCUGUAGUC
rnacentral:rRNA from 1 species